UGGCAAGAGAAAAAAUACACAACUAUCUCUCUGAAAUCAAAUUAUUGAAUCAAUAGGAUAAUUUUGACCGGAAGGUCCUCAAGUAGAUAAAAGAUGGAGAGGUUGAUGGCACCGCGACGGAGAUUUUUUGUGUAAGUGGCGACAGAGAGUUUGCUCGGAGGUGAAGUGGUUGAUGCGGCAAUCGGUAAAGAAAAACAAGAGAGAGAGAGAACGAGAAAGAAAUCAACACCUCACACCAUCCUCGCCGUCGCCGUCCAUAGCCGCCGCCGCCGGCCACAAACAUCGCCAGCGUCCACAACCAACCAACAGUGCCGCCGUCAUCCACCAUUACAAUGGACCCCACUAACCAUCGGUUGCCUCCAACUGUUUACAAUCGCAAGAGGAAGAGCAAGGCACUUGCCGGUGGCUCUAGUGCCCCUAUCCGUCGUUCUCGUCGGACAACUCGCGAUGAAGACGCCACCUCGCGACCCGACAAUUCUCAAGCACCGUUAACGACUGUAGAGGCUCCUCCGGUUACUGAAGUUGGUGGAUCUAAUAGCCAAUCGGCUCAAGGUUAUAGACGGUCAUUUGCUUUUGGCCUUUAUCGAGCGAUGGCAACCAAGCACUUGUACAUUUCAUUUGUCGUUGGGGGAGAUGACAAUCACGCUAGAUAACGUUAACGCCUUAAUAGGUCUGCUGGUUGUCGGACUUCUUGUGCAGAUUUAUUGUGAAAUUCGGUAUAGCAGAGAGAAUCUAGAUACGAUGGUGACUCGCAUUCUCAGAAUGUCACCGGGAUCAAAUGAGGAUGGUUGGGGGCCAUCGAACAAAUCCCUUAAGCUGAAGUGGUUGCGUGAAAAGUUUAGUGGAGUGAGAGAAAGACAUAGUCGGGAAAGAAAGUAAGGUGCGACGAGGACGUAUUUGUUGGCUAUAUGUUAGUUGAUUUUGAAUGCUAUUGAAUUAUGUUGGUUAUGUUGAAUUAUGUUGGAUAUGUUGGCUAUGAUGAAUUUUAGAUAGGUACCUUCUGGUCUAAAAAAAUUAUGUUGCAUAUUUGUCGUAACCAAAACAAGCUUAACACGAAAAAUUGCACCAACGUUCUAUUGACAGGUAACCAAUGUUGCAUAUUUUUUGUUGUCUUUUACUGUUUUUUAAUUCUUUCCUUUUUUUUUCUUUUGUAUGAAAUUUAGGUUUACAUACAUGCUGGAGUGUUGGAAACAUUAUAAGAAAUUGAUACUAUCAAUUCCAUUAAAAAAAAAGAACAAAGUUGCUCACAAAAAAAUUCGAUGGUAGAUUUUUUGUAACGCCCCGGAUUUCUCAACCUGGUUCGUUAGUCCACCUACUGGCCCACUGGGCACUGGGGCAACCACGGGCCUACCACAAGCCCACCCCAAAAGUCCAUGGAAAGUAUUGGUACCCAGUAGUAGUAGGGGAUUUGCUUAUAAACUCAAAUAGAGUUUCAUAUUAUCCCGAUCUGGGAAGGGGGGAUUUGCUUAUAAACUCAAACAGAGUUUCAUAUUAUCCCGAUCUGGGAAGGGGGGAUUUGCUUAUAAACUCAAACAGAGUUUCAUAUAUCCCGAUCUGGGACGGGGGCGUGACAUUUUUUUUGACAGGUAUCUCUCAAUUUUCAGCACAACUAUAGACAGGUACCCGUCGAUGGAAAUAUCAAAAUAUAUUGUGACGUACAAUUACUACAUAUUUUACAAACGUUCAACAUCAUCAUCAUCAUUACUCGAUAUUUCAUAAACACUCUCUUGAAGUGCUACCUUUGCACCGAACAACGUUCUAAACAUUUAUAUCCUAGUAUACAUCGCAUUACUUUGAGAUGCUACUAAAUAUUUCAUAAACACUCUCUUGAAUUCGUGUGCAUAAUCAACCACUAAUUCCCUAUUUUCCAUCUUCACUCCACUAGACGCGGCCGGAACAAUUUUUCUGCAAUAAAUAGGAGAAAAACAGUUAAAUGGACAAGAACGCAUGUCAAAUUAUCUUUACAAAAGUCGACACGUUUGUGUCAACUAGGAUACAAAGAUUCGUCAGGUUUCUAUCGAUUAAAUUCAUAAAAUCGACAAAUUUUCAAACAUGAAAUCAACACGUUCAGAUCGACAUUGCAUAUCGGGGAUUUUUUUUUCUUCCAAUUAUGAGAAAACACCACAACCAAGCUAAAAAAUUACACUGAUUUAUACCUCAUUUGAUGUUUCGUCUCUAGAAACUUCCAUAUUGGUGUCUUUUGACUCCACAAUAGCGAAGAUUGUGUAGGGUUUGGGUAGAAUUUGAGGGUUUUGAUUGGUGAGAUUUUUUGUGCAUGAUAACAAGAAAAAGGUGGUGAGAUUUUUUGUGUGUGAUAACAAGAAGAAGAUGUAUAGUAGAAAUUUGUGAAGGAGAUAAAUGGUUUUUUAUUUAUGUAAGAGUUUUUGAUGUUUUCUUCUCUUGAAUGUGUGGAGGGUUUUGAAGAACAAAAAUACUGUGAAGAAGAAGAAGAAGAAGAAGAAGACACUACAACAUUUAAGGCUUUAUACGACGAAAAAAAACCGUCGGGAAAAGUGAAAAAACCGUCAGGAACAUUAUUCGUGACGGUUUUCGACCGUCACAAAACCGUCAAGAAAAAGGCCGUCGUAUAUACUUCCACGUGUAAAAAAACCGUCAGGAAUAAUAUUUCUCGACGCUAUGAUAACCGUCGUAAAUACUCAUACAUAUUUUCAAAACCGUCGAGAAUACAUUUCUCGACUGUUGAAAACCGUCGGGAAUACUGGUACAUAUUUUUUCAAUAUUUUUUUUUUGUAAUCAAUAAACCUUUACAAAAAUUUAACCCCAUGCCAAAAAUUCGUAUAAUUUUCCAAUAUGAAUAUAAACCCAUGCUAAAAAUCACUCGGAUUUCCCAAAACAUGAAUUCUUGCUUUCCAAAAAUAUACAAUACCAAACUUCAAAAAAUCUAUCUUCAAAACAACACUUGAAGUAACCUACACAAUACAUUUACUUUCAAAGUCUACAUAUCCAUAGUUCAACAAAAUGUCCUUGCUCCCAUGCUCCAAUGUAAAAUGUGUUCCUGAACAAUCAAAGA